rnacentral:rRNA from 1 species
UGGGGAAUAUUGCACAAUGGGGGAAACCCUGAUGCAGCGACGCCGCGUGAAGGAAGAAGUAUCUCGGUAUGUAAACUUCUAUCAGCAGGGAAGAGAAUGACGGUACCUGACUAAGAAGCCCCGGCUAACUACGUGCCAGCAGCCGCGGUAAUACGUAGGGGGCAAGCGUUAUCCGGAUUUACUGGGUGUAAAGGGAGCGUAGACGGAGCAGCAAGUCUGAUGUGAAAGGCAGGGGCUCAACCCCUGGACUGCAUUGGAAACUGUUGAUCUUGAGUACCGGAGGGGUAAGCGGAAUUCCUAGUGUAGCGGUGAAAUGCGUAGAUAUUAGGAGGAACACCAGUGGCGAAGGCGGCUUACUGGACGGUAACUGACGUUGAGGCUCGAAAGCGUGGGGAGCAAACA